rnacentral:rRNA from 1 species
CCUACGGGAGGCAGCAGUGAGGAAUAUUGGUCAAUGGUCGGGAGACUGAACCAGCCAAGCCGCGUGAGGGAUGAAGGUACAGAGUAUCGUAAACCUCUUUUGUCAGGGAACAAAGGCGGGGACGUGUCCCCGGAUGAGUGUACCUGAAGAAAAAGCAUCGGCUAACUCCGUGCCAGCAGCCGCGGUAAUACGGAGGAUGCGAGCGUUAUCCGGAUUUAUUGGGGUUAAAGGGUGCGCAGGCGGUCUGUUAAGUCAGCGGUCAAAGCCCGGGGCUCAACCCCGGCGAGCCGUUGAAACUGUCGGAC